rnacentral:rRNA from 1 species
GUCCAUGCCGUAAACGUUGGGCACUAGGUGUGGGGGACAUUCCACGUUUUCCGCGCCGUAGCUAACGCAUUAAGUGCCCCGCCUGGGGAGUACGGCCGCAAGGCUAAAACUCAAAGGAAUUGACGGGGGCCCGCACAAGCGGCGGAGCAUGCGGAUUAAUUCGAUGCAACGCGAAGAACCUUACCAAGGCUUGACAUGAACCGGUAAUACCUGGAAACAGGUGCCCCGCUUGCGGUCGGUUUACAGGUGGUGCAUGGUUGUCGU